GUCCACGCCCUAAACGAUGUCAACUAGGUGUUGGGUGGGUAAAACCAUUUAGUACCGGAGCUAACGCGUGAAGUUGACCGCCUGGGGAGUACGGCCGCAAGGUUAAAACUCAAAGGAAUUGACGGGGACCCGCACAAGCGGUGGAUGAUGUGGAUUAAUUCGAUGCAACGCGAAAAACCUUACCUACCCUUGACAUGUCUGGAAGCUCUUAGAGAUUUUGAGUGUGCCCGAAAGGGAGCCAGAACACAGGUGCUGCAUGGCUGUCGU
rnacentral:rRNA from 1 species